rnacentral:rRNA from 1 species
GCAUAAAUGAUUUUUGGAUUCGGAGCGAGUGGCGAACUGGUGAGUAACACGUGGGUAACCUGCCCCGAAGCGGGGGAUAACAUUUGGAAACAAGUGCUAAUACCGCAUAAUUAGUUGGAACCGCAUGGUUCCAACUUGAAAGAUGGCUCUGCUAUCACUUUGGGAUGGACCCGCGCCGUAUUAGUUAGUUGGUGAGAUAAAAGCCCACCAAGACGAUGAUACGUAGCCGACCUGAGAGGGUAAUCGGCCACAUUGGGACUGAGACACGGCCCAGACUCCUACGGGAGGCAGCAGUAGGGAAUCUUCCACAAUGGACGAAAGUCUGAUGGAGCAACGCCGCGUGAGUGAUGAAGGUUUUCGGAUCGUAAAACUCUGUUGUUAAAGAAGAACAAGUGUUAGAGUAACUGUUAACACUUUGACGGUAUUUAACCAGAAAGCCACGGCUAACUACGUGCCAGCAGCCGCGGUAAUACGUAGGUGGCAAGCGUUGUCCGGAUUUAU